AGCAGAUACGUUAUUUGUAUUUAAUCACACCAAAACAAUAAACUGUUUAAUAUAUCAACAAGAUGGCCACAGUGGAAGUGUGCUGUGCUCUCUCUGAAGAAUUCGGUGUCCGUAAUUCCGAAUCACGUGACAUAAAUUCGGGGAAUGGUGGAAAUUCAGAAUGUACGUAAGUCCGAAGCGCCGUAACUCGGGGUAUUCCUGUAUAUAUAAUAAGAUUGUAUUUUUCCUGCUUUAAAAGCAGCAGCUGAAAAAUAAUAGUUUUUUUUUAAUUAGAAUAUCAGGUUCAGUUUGGUGGUCCUCCAAAACCUCCGGGAGCACUACCAAUUAGUGCUAUGAUAUCACCAUUUGCUAGUUUACAAGGUAAAAUUGUAAUUUACAGUUUACUUACAUUUCAUUAAGUCAUGUUUUAAAAUUUUUAUUAACAGUUGGUAAUCCCCGACAACCUGCACCAAGAAUGCCUAUGGUUGGACCUCCACCGGGAAUGGGCCCUAUGCCUGGUCCUAUGCCAGGCCCAAUGCAGAUGAUGGGUCCUCCUGGACCGAUGCCACCAAACAUGAUGAUGCCAGGUAUGCGUCCUCCAGUUGGACCAAUGGGACCCAUGAUGCCAAUGGGACCAAUGCCAGGUCCAGUCAGACCUCCAAUGAUGGCUUCCAACUCUCCUCAACCACCAGCACCUCAACCUCCAGAAAACGAGAAGUGAAUCUGAACAAGCAUUUAUCCAGAAUAAAGCAUCGAAUGGAAAUUGUUCUCUAUUCUGGCUCUUUUUAUAUUCGAUUGAUAAUCAGUUGAUCUUACUCCUGUGUGGCUGGAAGAGUUCAGGUAUAAUCUUCCUGCACUCCAUCCGUCUACUUAUUGGUUAACUUUGUUAUGUCCUACUGUUUUAUAAUAGAUAUUCAGAACCUAACUUUAAUAGAUAUCUACUGAACUUAAAUAUCAGUGUAUAAAAAAACAAUCUGGAUAUAGAUUAGACAUGGCAGAUGAUUUCAUUUUCAAGAAAAUUGUAGAUAUGUAUUUGAAUGUGAUCAUUCUGGUAAGUGCAAUUGAACAUUUAACUGCACAGUAAACUAAUCCUCUAAAUAUUUUAGGAGUGGGGAAUCUGAUGUCAAUAUGCAAUUUAUAGAUAGUUUUUUGUUCACUCUAUAAAACGUG
rnacentral:lncRNA from 1 species